rnacentral:sRNA from 2 species
UAAAUGUAUAAAAGGAAUGGUGCAGUAUUCUAGUCAGCCCUCCGUUCCUGAAGGCGGGCCUAAAAAUCCGCCAAAGGGCACAUCGAUGAAGUUCCUUGUGUCGGCUUGAGGCGCCCAGCCUUGGGUCGGUGCUGGGAGUUAAGGUUUUCGGGCGAUCCACAAAGGCAUGUGGGCGUUGACCCGAUUUCCGCGGAGGCCCAUCUCUGUGGUGACGACUAAGCCUAGGAGUCUCUAUGGAAUGGGGUAUGAACCUGCAUGAAGUGGUUAGGGACACCUAACGUGCAGCGUAGCCUGCCUUGAGUGGUGUUGAGGGGAUUAGAGUAGUGAAUAACUAUACUAGGUGGCCACUAGCAUAGUUAUUUGAUCUCUAUGAAAUCAUCACUGCAAAAGAGGCUAGGGAACGGUUAAAGGCUGUUGAGGAAAUCUCCUAGACUGUUCUUUUGGACAUUUAAAUGGGAUUAUAGUGUGGACUAAGUGGUAAUCCAGUCUAGCUUUCGGUGACGGAGCUAAGGUGGGUUUAAAGGGGAACCGCCUUUCAUGGCAACAUGGGGUACCCAUUUGGGAAAACCUACUGGACCUAAGCCACAGUUUUUACCAUUUAAAUGGCCAUUCCUUAUUAUACAUAA